UCUAAUAUGGCAGAAUAGUGCACUGGAUUUAAACCCCAUUUAUAAAGUAAUCCUUUUUUUAGAA
rnacentral:tRNA from 1 species